rnacentral:lncRNA from 10 species
AAGGCAGCUGAUCUGUUUCGAAUCCUGUGUGUCCGGAGAGGCCAACGCUUUCAUUAGCCAGCAGGAAUGGGCUGGGGCGCGUUUGUAGUUGGGAAUCCUGAGCCCGGGCUGUUGCUUGGAGGACUCGGGAGCAGCAGUGGAUUUCGGCGUUACCAGGAGAGGUAUGUAUAGGAAUGCCGCUAUGGAAAGACAUCCAGGACACCUUGUUAAGUGAAAAAAGG